UACGAAGGGGGCUAGCGUUGUCCGGAAUUAUUGGGCGUAAAGAGCUCGUAGGCGGUUUGUCGCGUCUGCUGUGAAAACUCGGGGCUUAACUCCGGGCCUGCAGUGGGUACGGGCAGACUAGAGUGCGGUAGGGGAGACUGGAAUUCCUGGUGUAGCGGUGAAAUGCGCAGAUAUCAGGAGGAACACCGGUGGCGAAGGCGGGUCUCUGGGCCGUAACUGACGCUGAGGAGCGAAAGCGUGGGGAGCGAACAGG
rnacentral:rRNA from 1 species